GUGUUCGUAGAAAGGAGAAAUGGUUGGCAUCUCCCCUGACAGGGACGGGAAUAGCUUUUGGGCUUUUCUUGUAACCAUCUAGCACUAUAUCUACAUGAUCACAACAUUUC